CUCUCUCAAAAAGUAGAAAUUUGCAUUUACAAAAACAGGGCCAUUCUGACAUAGAGAAAGGGGAAGUUUCAAGAAAUUCUCCAGUGUUCUUGAUGAAGAAGAGAUCAUCAGCUCACAUGAAGAGGAGCACAACCGUAAAAAAGGAUACCCACAACAAAAAGAUUUUGGGUGUUAAACUGGCUCACGGAAGCCAUAUGCACGUAAACGGCACGUUUGAUACGCUAUAUCGAUAAUGAUUGAAUGGAAUAAUUGACUAUCCAUUACACACACGUGUUUCCAUAACUAAAGUAUGAUAAUUAUUUGUUUUCCUUAUAAGAUUAGAAACUCAAGAACUAGAAAAUACGUAUGGUGUAAGAUACUAGGUUCAAUUCUUUUCUUUUCUUUUCUUUUUUUUCUUCUUUUUUUGACAUGUAAAAAGUCCGCAAGGCGAUCAACGAAAAUUCAAUCUGAAAUUCUUAAACGUUUUUAUUCUUUUUAUCAUAUUAAUUUUGGCCUUCAAACAAAUCCAGAUACGUGUAGAAAAUCAUUGCUAGGUUAUGACUUUUGCUCACAAUUGAAAAAAAUAAUUAAAUUAAAAAAUUAAAAAUAUCUUCUAACUGAAAUAAUUGUAUAGUGCAAUAAUGAUAGUUGGACACUUGGCCGUUGUAUAGCUGAUUGUAAUCCUUAGUCAAGAACCACA
rnacentral:lncRNA from 1 species